GCCUCGAAGCUGCCUGCCUGGUUUUUCCUUGGGGUUGGCCAAUCAAAAGAAUCAAGAAUAAGGGAGAAGGAAGAGAAACAUCUGUGUGUAGAAAAAUGGAGCCCCAAGUUUUGCAGUGGGAACACACACAUUUGGGCUCGGUAAACACUUAAGGAAGUUGCCAUGCACUGCAGCCUGCCGGAGACAUGAAGGAAUGUACAGGAGGAUAAUCACAACAUCAUCA